rnacentral:rRNA from 1 species
UACGUAGGUGACCAGCGUUGUCCGGAUUUACUGGGCGUAAAGAGCGCGCAGGCGGUCGUUCAAGUCGAGUGUGAAAGCCCCCGGCUCAACUGGGGAGGGUCAUUCGAUACUGAUCGACUUGAAGGCAGGAGAGGGAAGCGGAAUUCCCGGUGUAGUGGUGAAAUGCGUAGAUAUCGCUUGGAACGCCAAUGGUGAAAACAGCUCGCUGGGGGUGUGCUGACGCUGAGACACGAAAGCCAGGGGAGCGAACGGG